GUGGCGAUAGCUCAGUAGGUUAGAGCACCAGGUGAGCAGAUGGUGGUUACUGAUUACUCUAUUAUCUAGCUAUUAUCUGCGCAGGUUCGAAUCCCGCCUGUGACA